GUUGCAAUGCCUCUACAAGUCCAGUAUGAUAAUGGCGAUUCAAAUUCAGUCUUCUGCUGGCUUGAGAGAUGGACAUCCUCCUAUACCUGGAAACCACUUCCGCAACCAAAAAAAGGUAGUGAUUCAAAGUCUCGCACAAAGAGGGGAAGUUAUGCAAUGGAGAUGGAGACAAGUAAACCGAAGCGCAUGGUUAGGAGGAACUCAUCUGGAGGCGUCGAAUCUGGUCCAACCAUUAUUACCUCUGAGCCUGAAAAGCCCAAGCGCAACACACGGAAAACUUCUAGCACUCCUACUGAAUUACCGCAGGAACAUCCACAAACUGAGCUUGAAAAGGUUAAGCGUAGUUUGAGAAAGGUAUCAAGUUUGAUGGCAGAAGC
rnacentral:misc_RNA from 1 species